AAUACUGGGAUCUGAAGCUCUAAGGUAUCAUCAGUCAGUAUAGUCAUCAAGUACCUGGAAUGAAUUUGAAGCUUGAAAUUUACUUGGAAAAGAUUUGAAGCUUAUUUAGUGAGGCAAAUAGUUUUCUGGAUCUUUUCAUCGAUGAGGUAAUUGUGCAAUGUCUUAUUUGGUGUAAUUACAGUAAGGUUCCAGAGGAAUUUGUU
rnacentral:misc_RNA from 1 species